UUGAGACUUCAGUUAGAAUAAAUGUUAUAAAUACUCUGAUAAAAUAAUUGACUAAAAAGAUAAAAGAGGCGGUUUUGAUUACAAGUAGAAAAUUGUAAAAUAUAAGGUAUAGGAAUGUCAGGAGUGCUGUGCUUAAAAUAUGCAGCAGUAACCUCGCCAAGAAGCUACUGGAUGUCGUAGGUUUUUUGUUCAAGAAACUCUGGAGACCAUAAUGCAGACCAGGUGAAACAGGGGCUUAACAGCUUGACAGUGCACCCCAAGGACAUGAGGACUGUUGUUUCUUGGUGAGUCUGAUCCAAAGGACAGACAGGAAAAGAUUUCACCCUUUACAAUGAGGCAUUCCAGGCACCCUGUAUAUGUGAUGCAAUAACUAUGUCUCCCACACAGGGAUGUCUGUAUGGAUCCCUCAUUAUGGCUGUCAUUCUGAAGCUCUGCAGCUGAGCUGGGCUGGCUAAAGCUUUCAAGACCCCACACAAUACAUGAGUUCAAAAUAAUGGAAAAUGAAACACUUACUGAGUGAAUCCUAUAUUUCUUGUGCCUG